rnacentral:lncRNA from 1 species
UCCUGGAGACAGGAGGUGUACAGAGAGGCCUAGGGCCCCCCUGCACGGUUCAGACUCUGGCACCACGCGGCUUUGGGGCCCCCACAGUCACCCUCCAGACCUGGUUCUGGGGCUCUUGGGGUGCAGGCUGGCAGUCUGACAAAGUGGGAGCCCCCUGGCUUCAGCCCGGAGUCCCCCAAGGUACAGUUGAGGGGAGUUUUCCAGAAUGAUUCAUCUUAUGUAGACCAUUGUUUUAAAGCCACAAGCCAAGUUGUCGCUGGAGACACCCUCUGAAUUUUUAACCUCAUUCUUGGGCUAGAUAAUCUUGACAGUUCAGAAAACCACUCCCUGGGAGUCCGAACUUGAGACACCAUUUAGAAGCAGUGACCACAGUCAAGGUGCGGAGUAGAGAGGAGCGUUUUUCCCUCCCACGCUCUCUGUUGCCUGGAGUAGAAGUCACUGCAGCCAGGUUCACUGGGAUCCAUCCCCAGGCCGCCUCUUCAGACGGCACUGCUGUUCAGCAAGUUAAUAUUCCUGAUCUAGACUCUUGAGAAGGCCCAUGGGAAUGUCUUGUGUGCUGUGUUAUUUCACCAGGGCAGCUUGAACAAUGACCACAGUGAGGUGGGCACAGGCGGGUGGAAGAGCCCUCCCCCUCGGCGUUGCUGGCCCCCACUGUCCUUAGCAGGGGAUCUCCUUGGAGGGUGGUGUUGCGGGAAAGACCACCUGCUGUCGUGGGGGCUCCAUCUGAGGACUCUGAAGUGGCUUCUCACGUCCCCAGCUAUGCAUGUCCUGGUACAUCAGACCAAUGGCUCAGGGGAGUUGGAACGAUUAAUUGUUGUGGUUAACUGUAUUUGGCCUCAGGUCAAAAGUCUGUUUAAAAAGUGGGCCCAAGAUGCUACAGAGUACACGUAG